UACAGAGGGGGCAAGCGUUAUUCGGAAUUAUUGGGCGUAAAGGGCGCGUAGGCGGCAUGGCAAGUGGAUGGUGAAAUCCCUCGGCUUAACCGAGGAACUGCCGUCCAAACUGCUUCGCUUGAGACCGGGAGAGGUGAGUGGAAUUCCCAGUGUAGCGGUGAAAUGCGUAGAUAUUGGGAGGAACACCAGUGGCGAAGGCGGCUCACUGGACCGGUACUGACGCUGAUGCGCGAAAGCGUGGGGAGCGAACGAGG
rnacentral:rRNA from 1 species